ensembl:lncRNA
UAAAGGUUGACUUUCAGCAGUAUUUUAGACUCAGCGAUACUUUAGACGGACCUUGCAAAGAAAGGUGGCUAUAUUGGUCGCUGAUUUGUUUUUGUUUUGUUUUUGAAUGUCAGAAAUGUAUAUUUGUGAAUGUGGAGAUGUUAUAUUGGUUUCACUGGUAAAAAUAAAUAAUUGAAAUGGGUAUAUAUUUGUUUUUUGUCAAGUUGCCUAAUAAUUAUGCACAGUAAUAGCCACCUGCACACACAGAUAUCCCCCUAAAAUAGCUUAAACUAAAAACAAACUAAAAACUACUUCCAAAAACAUUCAGCUUUGAUAUUAAUGAGUUUUUUGGGUUCAUUGAGAACAUGGUUGUUGUUCAAUAAUGUUACACCCCGGCCUAGGCAACCGGAGUGCAACACGAAUAAAAGUAAAAAUAAAGAAAAAAAAAAAACACACAAAAAACCCCCACUAAAGCUCACCACCAAAAUCCCAAAACGAAAGUAUCGAGAAAUCUAUUUACAGCUAUUUACAACAAACUAUUUAUUUACAACAAAACACCAAACUAUUUACAACACGGGGGAGAUCGCGACCAUGACACACUGAAACACAGGGUUUAAAUACAUAGAGGGAGCAAUCAGGAAAAUGGACAACAGGAGGGAAACACAGCUGGGGCAAAUUAGAACUGACGAGACAGGGAAACGUAAACUGAAAACACUAAGAUAACACAGACUUUCAAAGUAAAACAGGAAACACAUAACAGUCACGCCAAAAACAACACACCGACAACACCGAAACGUAACAGUUCCCCCCACCCAAAAAUCAAACAUUUAACACCAAGUGAAAAGUUUGAUCCAGACAGACGAAGCCGAUGAAGGCUGGAGCGGUCCCACUGACCCUCCAGCAGACGACGAAGGCUGGAGCGGUCUUACGGACCAUCCAGCGAAGGCGGAUGAAGGCUGGAGCGGUCCCACGGACCCUCCAACGACGACAAAGGCUGGGGCGGUCCCACGGACCCUCCCCUCAGCGAAGGCAGACGAAGCUGAUGAAGGCUGGAGCGGUCCCACAGACCCUCCAGCGAAGGCAGAUGAAGGCUGGAGCGGUCCCUCGGACCCUCCAGCGGAGACGGACGGCUGAAGCGAAGGCAGACGAAGCUGAUGACGGCUGGAGCGGCCCCACCGACCCUCCAGCAGACGACGAAGGCUGGAGUGGUCCCUCGGACCCUUCAGCGAAGGCGAAUGAAGGCUGGAGCGGUCCCACAGACCCUCCAGCAGACGACAAAGGCUGGGGCGGUCCCCGGACCCCCCAGCGAAGGCAAUCCCGGACGAGCCCCCAUAUGUUACACCCCGGCCUAGGCAACCGGAGUGCAACACGAAAAAAAGUAAAAAUAAAGAAAAAAAAAACACAAAAAACCCCCACUAAAGCUCACCACCAAAAUCCCAAAACGAAAGUAUCGACAAAUCUAUUUUACAGCUAUUUACAACAAAAUAUUUAUUUACUGUCGCGCUGACCUAGUAGGUGUGGCUGUUAUUCCUCUUUUCCUCCUCCUGCCCUCUACCUGUUCGGUGCUGCUGCUUACCCAUGGCCGCUGAUUAGACCUUGGGUGCAAUCAACAACUAAGCACGGCCUGGUGUGCGCCGCCCUGCCAGGUGAGCCACAUUAGAGCAAUCAAGGGUGGGCGUGCCAAGUAAACCUUUAAAUGCAUGCAGCAGUCAUUUGACCCGGGUGCAACAUACUGAGAGGACGGCAAACAAAGCACUUUUCCACUGUGAGGAAGACUUUGAACAAGACAGGCUAUCGGUAAGCUCUUGAGUUCACA